rnacentral:rRNA from 1 species
AUUGAACGCUGGCGGCAUGCCUUACACAUGCAAGUCGAACGGUAACGGGCCUUCGGGUGCCGACGAGUGGCGAACGGGUGAGUAAUACAUCGGAACGUGCCCGAUCGUGGGGGAUAACGAGGCGAAAGCUUUGCUAAUACCGCAUACGAUCUACGGAUGAAAGCAGGGGACCGCAAGGCCUUGCGCGGACGGAGCGGCCGAUGGCAGAUUAGGUAGUUGGUGGGAUAAAAGCUUACCAAGCCGACGAUCUGUAGCUGGUCUGAGAGGAUGAUCAGCCACACUGGGACUGAGACACGGCCCAGACUCCUACGGGAGGCAGCAGUGGGGAAUUUUGGACAAUGGGCGCAAGCCUGAUCCAGCCAUGCCGCGUGCAGGAUGAAGGCCUUCGGGUUGUAAGCUGCUUUUGUACGGAACGAAAAGCCUUCUUUUAAUACAGGAGGGUCAUGACGGUACCGUAAGAAUAAGCACCGGCUAACUACGUG